AGUUAAACAGUACGUGAAAUUGUUGAAAGGGAAACGAUUGAAGCCAGUCGUACCUUCGGGUAAUCAGCCUUUCGGGUGCGAUUAUGUGGAGUGUGAGGAGCUUAAACACCUUCAUGUUUUGCAUAUUCGUACUCUUGGGUGUACUUGCCCGUGUGGUUGGUUAACAUCAAUUUUGGUGGUCAUAAAAUGACUGGAGGAAUGUAGCUUCGAUCUCGUAUUGAAGUGUUAUAGCCUUCGGUAGAUGUGAUGAUCGAGAUUGAGGAUUGCAACGGAUACCCUUCGGGGCUACCUGUCUGAUCUCUGAUCGUUGCUUUGGUGCCGAAAGCUUGCUUACGGUUAUCAAAGUCGAUGGUUAAUAGGUUAGAACGGGUUAAAUUCGUUAAGGAUGUUGACGUAAUGGCUUUAAA
rnacentral:misc_RNA from 1 species